GCUUUACAACGGCUUCCUGACGUAGAGCUAAUUUUUUUUUGGAGCA
rnacentral:ncRNA from 1 species